rnacentral:rRNA from 1 species
UAGGAAUUUGAGAGGAGCUGUCCUUAGUACGAGAGGACCGGGAUGGACGCACCGCUGGUGUACCAGUUGUUCUGCCAAGGGCAUAGCUGGGUAGCUAUGUGCGGAAGGGAUAAGUGCUGAAAGCAUCUAAGCAUGAAGCCCCCCUCAAGAUGAGAUUUCCCAUAGCGUAAGCUAGUAAGAUCCCUGAAAGAUGAUCAGGUUGAUAGGUUCGAGGUGGAAGCAUGGUGACAUGUGGAGCUGACGAAUACUAAUAGAUCGAGGACUUAACCAUAUAA